UGGGGAAUAUUGGACAAUGGGCGCAAGCCUGAUCCAGCCAUGCCGCGUGAGUGAUGACGGCCUUAGGGUUGUAAAGCUCUUUCAACGGUGAAGAUAAUGACGGUAACCGUAGAAGAAGCCCCGGCUAACUUCGUG
rnacentral:rRNA from 1 species